UACGUAGGGUGCAAGCGUUGUCCGGAAUUAUUGGGCGUAAAGAGCUCGUAGGCGGUCUGUCGCGUCCGUUGUGAAAACUCGAGGCUCAACCUCGGGCUUGCAGUGGAUACGGGCAGACUAGAGUGCGGUAGGGGAGACUGGAAUUCCUGGUGUAGCGGUGGAAUGCGCAGAUAUCAGGAGGAACACCGGUGGCGAAGGCGGGACUCUGGGCCGAUACUGACGCUGAGGAGCGAAAGCGUGGGGAGCAAACAGG
rnacentral:rRNA from 1 species